rnacentral:rRNA from 1 species
UACGUAGGGUGCGAGCGUUGUCCGGAAUUAUUGGGCGUAAAGAGCUCGUAGGCGGCUUGUCGCGUCGGAUGUGAAAGCCCGGGGCUUAACUCCGGGUCUGCAUUCGAUACGGGCAGGCUAGAGUUCGGUAGGGGAGAUCGGAAUUCCUGGUGUAGCGGUGAAAUGCGCCGAUAUCGGGAAGAACACCCGUGGCGAAGGCGGCUCUCUGGGACGGUACUGACGCUGAGACGCGAAAGCGUGGGGAGCGAACAGG